UUCUUCAAGCGUAAUAGUGAGAACGAUAAAAUUACGUAUCUCGUUAACAACCGUUGACUGACUUUGAUUCAUGACGGGCUUUGUACAAUUGAAAUCAUCCGUGCAAAGAAAGCAUAUAAAUUACUAAAACUGCGUCAGUUUCUUCACUGUUGUCCUGUAACUGUGGCAAUCCAUAUUUCCAAGAUGAAUAAGUCAGUUCUGAUGUUCGUCGUCUUGAGUGUCCUCGCUCUAUGGAGUAUUGCGGAGGCGCAAGAUUACGAAGACUACCCGUACAGACGGCGGAGAUAUCGGGAACCUCAGUACACCCGUAACCCGUAUCCCCAUAACAGCAAUUCAUACAGCACCGAUGGCUGGGGCGAUCUCGCUGGCAGCUGGGGACGUUGAUCUAUAUGUUACUUUAUAGAGCUCAACUGUAACUAAAGUCUAUGGAAAAUAAAAGGGAGAUGGACAUUAUUUAGUCCUUGGGAUAAAA